CACCGCUCGGUGAAAAUUUCGCCGCAGGGACACGGCCAAGUAAGCCCGAUAUGGAUUUGAAAGGUCGUGAGGUGAAUAAGAAA
rfam:Firmicutes bacterium CAG:124 genomic scaffold, scf183